UUGUUGGUAGCUCAGUGGUAAAGUGCAUGCUUUAUAUCUAUGAUGUCCUGGGUUCAAUCACCAGCUUGCAAA